CGGACGGGUGAGUAAUGUCUGGGAAACUGCCCGAUGAGGGGGGAUAACUACUGGAAACGGUAGCUAAUACCGCAUAACGUCGCAAGACCAAGAGGGGGACCUUCGGGCCUCUUGCCAUCGGAUGUGCCCAGAUGGGAUUAGCUAGUAGGUGGGGUAACGGCUCACCUAGGCGACGAUCCCUAGCUGGUCUGAGAGGAUGACCAGCCACACUGGAACUGAGACACGGUCCAG
rnacentral:rRNA from 1 species